rnacentral:tRNA from 2 species
UAAAGAAAUAUUUUAAUAAAGCUUCUAACUUUAAAUUAAGCAUUAAUAUGUUUAUAUUUCUU